rnacentral:rRNA from 1 species
UACAGGGGGGGCAAGCGUUGUUCGGAAUUACUGGGCGUAAAGGGUUCGUAGGUGGCCACCUAAGUCAGACGUGAAAUCCCUCAGCUUAACUGGGGAACUGCGUCUGAUACUGGGUGGCUUGAGUGCAGGAGAGGAAUGCGGAAUUCCAGGUGUAGCGGUGAAAUGCGUAGAUAUCUGGAGGAACACCAAUGGCGAAGGCAGCUCGCUGGGACGUUACUGACGCUGAGACGCGAAAGCGUGGGGAGCAAACAGG